rnacentral:rRNA from 1 species
UACGUAGGGCGCAAGCGUUAUCCGGAAUUAUUGGCGUAAAGAGCUCGUAGGCGGUUUGUCGCGUUCGGCCGUGAAAUCUCCACGCUUAACGUGGAGCGUGCGGUCGAUACGGGCAGACGUUGAGUUCGGUAGGGGAGACUGGAAUUCCUGGUGUAGCGGUGAAAUGCGCAGAUAUCAGGAGGAACACCGGUGGCGAAGGCGGCAUCCUGGACCGGCAUUGGACGCUGAGGCGACGAAAGCCCAGGGGAGGCAAAACGGG